rnacentral:rRNA from 1 species
AUGAACGCUAGCUACAGGCUUAACACAUGCAAGUCGAGGGGCAGCAUUUUAGUUUGCUUGCAAACUAAAGAUGGCGACCGGCGCACGGGUGAGUAACACGUAUCCAACCUGCCGAUAACUCGGGGAUAGCCUUUCGAAAGAAAGAUUAAUAUCCGAUAGUAUAUUAAAACCGCAUGGUUUUACUAUUAAAGAAUUUCGGUUAUCGAUGGGGAUGCGUUCCAUUAGUUUGUUGGCGGGGUAACGGCCCACCAAGACUACGAUGGAUAGGGGUUCUGAGAGGAAGGUCCCCCACAUUGGAACUGAGACACGGUCCAAACUCCUACGGGAGGCAGCAGUGAGGAAUAUUGGUCAAUGGACGAGAGUCUGAACCAGCCAAGUAGCGUGAAGGAUGACUGCCCUAUGGGUUGUAAACUUCUUUUAUAUGGGAAUAAAGUAUUCCACGUGUGGGAUUUUGUAUGUACCAUAUGAAUAAGGAUCGGCUAACUCCGUGCCAGCAGCCGCGGUAAUACGGAGGAUCCGAGCGUUAUCCGGAUUUAUUGGGUUUAAAGGGAGCGUAGGUGGAUUGUUAAGUCAGUUGUGAAAGUUUGCGGCUCAACCGUAAAAUUGCAGUUGAAACUGGCAGUCUUGAGUACAGUAGAGGUGGGCGGAAUUCGUGGUGUAGCGGUGAAAUGCUUAGAUAUCACGAAGAACUCCGAUUGCGAAGGCAGCUCACUAGACUGCAACUGACACUGAUGCUCGAAAGUGUGGGUAUCAAACAGGAUUAGAUACCCUGGUAGUCCACACAGUAAACGAUGAAUACUCGCUGUUUGCGAUAUACAGUAAGCGGCCAAGCGAAAGCAUUAAGUAUUCCACCUGGGGAGUACGCCGGCAACGGUGAAACUCAAAGGAAUUGACGGGGGCCCGCACAAGCGGAGGAACAUGUGGUUUAAUUCGAUGAUACGCGAGGAACCUUACCCGGGCUUAAAUUGCAUUUGAAUAAUCUGGAAACAGGUUAGCCGCAAGGCAAAUGUGAAGGUGCUGCAUGGUUGUCGUCAGCUCGUGUCGUGAGAUGUUGGGUUAAGUCCCGCAACGAGCGCAACCCUUACUGUUAGUUGCUACGCAAGAGCACUCUAGCAGGACUGCCGUUGACAAAACGGAGGAAGGUGGGGAUGACGUCAAAUCAGCACGGCCCUUACGUCCGGGGCUACACACGUGUUACAAUGGGGGGUACAGAAGGCAGCUACCUGGCGACAGGAUGCUAAUCCCAAAAACCUCUCUCAGUUCGGAUCGAAGUCUGCAACCCGACUUCGUGAAGCUGGAUUCGCUAGUAAUCGCGCAUCAGCCAUGGCGCGGUGAAUACGUUCCCGGGCCUUGUACACACCGCCCGUCACACCAUGAGAGUUGGGGAUACCCGAAGCCUGUGAGCCAACAUAUCUAUGAGGCAGCAGUCGAAGGUAGAAUCAAUGAUUGGGGUG